AGAGACCACUUGUUAGGCCUCAGAUAAGUCCCAGAAUCUAAACUCAGUAAAAGCAACACGGGAGGCAGAAGGAAUCUUGGGGCAGUCUUAAAGGUAGAGAGAAAAAGAAAACCUGAAAGCUGAUUCUCAGAGCCUCAAUCACGGUCACCGGGGCCAGAUUCUUUGUGACUAUGUAUCCAACUGGAAGCCCGAGUUAGGUCCAAUGGCAAGAAUGCUGCGCCCGGAGAGAUCUAAGGACAGUCCUCCAAUGACAUUCACAUCUCACAGUGGUCACCACUGAGUGGAAUGAAGAAAUCCAGCAACGACAGGAAAAGACAAAAGAGUAGAUUCAAUUUAGACUCGGACCACCUAGGGGUGAUGGGUGGAGAAGGCAUCACUAAAUACAGAGCAUCUGUCUUCAAAUGCAAAGAGUUCAGUUGGAUUUUAAGAAAAUUACCUUGAAGGCUGCUAAACAAUGAAGGCUCAGUAAGGUCAUGAAAACUGCCAGAAGGAUGGUGGCUAAGUUCCGCACGUCCCAUAUGGUCUCUACCAGAGGAAUACUGCCGACUUGCCAGUCAUAACACAGGGUAACGGGUGCAAGCAGAAGCCACACGUUGAAGGCCAAGAGGUAGGAAUAGGUUGGCAGUUACAAAUCACCAGUGACAGCCAGAGAAAGAGCAAACAAGUGAGAGAGGCAGAGUGAGAGGAAAAGAGAAUCUCGAGCAGACUCUGAGCUGAGCAUGGAGCAUGAUGUGGGGCUUGAUGUCAUGACCCUGAGAUUAUGAUCUGAGCCGAAACCAAGAGUUGGACACCUAACAGACUGAGCCACCAAUGCACCCCAGGAGCGGGAAUACUUCAGUGUUGUUUCCCAACUCUUUUUCUCUCUGUUGGUUCAUUUAAUACAAUGUUAAUGUAUAAAUUGUGGGGUACACACUGAAAGCUUAAUGAAGUCCAAGAUUGAUUAUUUAACAAAAAUCAAAAUCAAAACACUGCCUCAUUCCUUUUAGCCUUGGGGCUGAGAAAUUGUCUCAUGAGAGAAUGCCAACUCCAUGGGAAGACAACUGGCACAAUGUUGGCUUUGUUCUUUCACAGAGCUUCUCAGCUGAUGCGAUCUGCUUAUUAGCUCAGGAAAGAUUCUCUGUGACUUGACUUUAGAGAAGGUGGAAUCAUCAAACAGAAAAAUCACAAUGUCAUUCAGUUACUCUCCAGGUCUUAAAAAUUACUUUUUAAAAAUGGUAUCUCUCCUUCUUGAUAAACUAGUUACCAGCAAUGAUUAUAAAUGGCUGCUAAAAUAUUAAGUGAAAGCUAAUAGGGUACUUCACAAUGGAUGGAUCAGGCUAAAUCAGAUGCCUAGACCUGACUAACCAAUUUUAACAUCACAGAAAGGGAGACUAAUAGCCAGAUGUCCUCCUGCUGGAGAGAGAUGUCACCACCUACGAAGUAGUCUUGUUCCCCGAAAAAAAAGAAAAAGAAAAUCAAACUUGAAUCUGAUCAAGCCCUUUACCACCAGUUUACAUCAAAUACAGAAAAACCCAGAACAUGCUACAAGACACCACAGGAAUGCAAUGUGACAAAUCCAGAAUGUUGCCAUUCCACAGAACAAAUGAUGUCUGGUUCUUCCACAAAUACACUGUACGAGGGUUAACAGGGACGGGGGACAGGAGAGAAGAAGAGGGCACCUGUAAGUCAGAUGAUACCUAAGAGACAUAUCAAAGUGCAGAUAUUGUUUAGGUGCUAAUUCAAACAAUCCAUUAUGAAAAAUCACCACUUAUGAGCAGAAAAAAUUGAAACACUGAUUGGAUAUAGGAUCCUGGAGAAUCACUGCUCAUCUUUUUUUUUUUUUUUUAGAUUUUUAUUUAUUUAUUUGACAGAAAUCACAAGUAGGCAGAGAGGCAGGCAGAGAGAGAGGGGGAAGCAGGCUCCCUGCGGAGCAGAGAGCCCGAUGCUGGGGCACCUUGCCAAGGUGCCCCCCAGGCAAGGAUUCUAAUAGGGACUGGGGUCAUCCUAGAGUUGCGCCUCACACUGCUAGAAGCCAUGCUAGAGCUUGGUGUCUCCUAGUACACAGAUUUGGGUGAAGUUUGUUAUGUUACUUUAACCCACUGUGCCACCCAGGCGCUCCAUCAUUGCUAAUUUUUAAAGUGUGAUAAUGGUAUUGUGGUUAUACUUUUUAAGGAACCUUAUCUUUCAGAAACAUACUAAAAUAUAUGCAUAUGAAAUGCUAAUCUGAGAUUUGUUUUAGAAUGAUGGACUGGGAGUAAGGGUACACAAGUGGGUGGGGGUAUGAAUGAAACAAGAUCGGCCAUGAGCUACGAUUGUUGAAACUGGGUAAUGGGUCUGUAGAGGUUCUUUAUGCCAUCUGCUCUACUUCUGUAUGUAUUUAUUAUCCAUAAUAAAAACUAUUUUUUCUUAACUAGGCAACAGAAAUGCAACAGGAAUAUCUCCUUAUGUCUAAAGGCAGCUUGCGCAUGGAAUAGCUGCAAGUGCUAAUGUCGAUUCUUUUUUUUCUUUUUUCUUUUUUCUUUUUUUUAACCGCAGGGUUAAAACUCAAGAUCCUGAGAUGAAGGUCUGAGCUGAGAUCAAGAUUGGAACGCUUAACCAACUGGGCCACUUAGGCACCCCACUAAUGUGGAAAUUUUAUUUUAAUUGCUAAGUUCACAUUUGGGCCUUGCCCAGCAAGUUGUCCUCCAUUUCUUGUUUUUUGUUUUGUUUUUUUUUAAUUUAUGUAAGUGAUUUUCACACGCAACAUGGGGCUCAAACUAACAACCCAGAGAUCAAGAGCUGCUUGCUCUUGGGGCACCUGGGUGGCUCAGUGGGUUAAGCCUCUGCCUUCAGCUAGGGUAAUGAUCCCAGGGUCCUGGGAUCGACUCCCACAUCGGGUUCUCUGCUAAGCAGGGAGCCUGCUUGCUCCUCUCUCUCUGCCUGCCUCUCUUCCUACUUGUGAUCUCUGUCAAAUAAAUAAAUAAAAUCUUUAAAAAAAAAAAAAAAAAGAGUUGCUUGCUCUUCCAACCAAGUCAGCCAGCACCCUAGUUGCUUAUAUUUUCUUUCUUUUUUAAGAUUUUAUUUAUCUGACAAGAGAGAGCAUAUACACAAGCAGGGGGAACAACAGGCAGAAGAAGCAGCAGGCUCCCCGCCAAGCAGGGAGCCCAAUGUGGGACUGGAUCCCAGGACGCUGGGAUCAUGACCUGAGCUAAAGGCAGCCACUUAACCAACUGGGCCACCCAGGCACCCCAUAGUUUCUUAUAUUUUCUAGACUUUUAAUAUUGCAUUGGCAAAAAGAAAAAAAUAAAGAAGAAUAUUUUUUUUCAGUUA